AGAGUUUGAUCCUGGCUCAGAACGAACGCNNGGCGGCGUGGAUAAGACAUGCAAGUCGAGCGCUGAUUACAGGGUAGCAAUAUUCUGUGGUCGGAGCGGCGCAAGGGUGCGUAACACGUGGGUAAUCUGCCAUGAAGUUUGGGAUAACUUGCUGAAAGGCGAGCUAAUACCGGAUGUGACAACCAGGAGGCAUCUUUUGGUUGUUGAAGUUGGGGACCGUAAGGCCUGACGCUUCAUGAUGAGCCCGCGGCCUAUCAGCUAGUUGGUGAGGUAACGGCUCACCAAGGCUAAGACGGGUAGCUGGUCUGAGAGGACGACCAGCCACACUGGAACUGAGACACGGUCCAGACACCUACGGGUGGCAGCAGUCGAGAAUUUUUCACAAUGGGCGCAAGCCUGAUGGAGCGACGCCGCGUGGGGGAUGAAUGGCUUCGGCCCGUAAACCCCUGUCAUUUGCGAUCAACCCUCAUUAUUUAAAAGAUGAUGAGCUGAUAGUAGCGAAAGAGGAAGGGACGGCUAACUCUGUGCCAGCAGCCGCGGUAAUACAGAGGUCCCGAGCGUUGUUCGGAUUCACUGGGCGUAAAGGGUGCGUAGGUGGUGGGGUAAGUCGGAUGUGAAAUCUCGGAGCUCAACUCCGAAAUGGCAUUGGAAACUACCCUGCUAGAGGAUCGGAGGGGGGACUGGAAUACUUGGUGUAGCAGUGAAAUGCGUAGAUAUCAAGUGGAACACCAGUGGCGAAGGCGAGUCCCUGGACGAUACCUGACACUGAGGCACGAAAGCUAGGGGAGCAAACAGGAUUAGAUACCCUAGUAGUCC
rnacentral:rRNA from 1 species